AUUUGUCCAUGACAUAACUUCCUGGCCCUCAGCUACCAGUGGAAGCAGGUCUCUCUGGUUCGACCUGUUAAUACCACAGACUCUACUUUGCCAGAAAUGUGACUUCUUGAUGAAUAAGUUGGUCCAGACCUGCCAAUUUGAAGUGAACUCAUAUUUGGCAGUCUGCUGGAGCGCCAACGAUCAAGAGGAGACCAGAUGAGUUUUCAGAGCAGUCCUCAAACACCCAGGACACACCUCAUCCUUUGCCUCAUGCUUUCUGCAAUGUUGCUGCUCACAUUCAUCUUCCUAUUAACGCUUGCCAUAAUUACCCCUUCCUGAUCACCAUUCUUCCUCCAUUCACUACCUACUCAGCUCUUUCUCCAAGGUGCCCGUCUUAUGGGCAGUGGCUUUGUUCUCUGUUUGGCAAGUUCCCCUCUGAGUUAUGUCCAGAUGGCUAACAUUGGUUUCCCUCUUUCCUCAUGCCCAACAGCCCCUGCCUCAUGUCCAACAGCCCAGCAUUCAGUCCCUAGGUGAGGAAAACCACAGUACAUCCUACCUCUUCCAAAAUGAAAAGUUGCAAGACUCUGCCAGAGCAGUCACACUCAAUGAAGAUACUCGAGGUAUCUGAGUGUGAUGUAAUUAAAACUAGAUGGAAAGACCAGAAAUCCCUUAGUCCCAGUCAGAUAUUGAAAGCGCUUACUCAUGACUGUUUGGACUGAUUAAGAAUGUGGAGGUAGGAAGAAGAGAAAGAGAAGGAUCCUCAGAAUUGGACUGCCCCUGAAUACAGGAUGGAAUCAUCCAGACUUUUUUCCUCCAAUUAAAUUUGCAUUUCAUUCUA